GACGAACGCUGGCGGCGCGCUUAACACAUGCAAGUCGAGCGAUGAAAUUUCGACAGAUCCCUUCGGGGUGAAGAUGAAAUGGAUUAGCGGCGGACGGGUGAGUAACACGUGAGUAACCUGCCUUUGACAUUGGGAUAGCCUCGGGAAACUGGGAUUAAUACCAAAUGACACUAACUGAUCACAUGAUCAAUUAGUCAAAGAAAUUCGGUCAAAGAUGGACUCGCGGCUGAUUAGCUAGUUGGUGAGGUAACGGCCCACCAAGGCGACGAUCAGUAGCCGGCCUGGGAGGGUGAUCGGCCACAUUUGAACUGCGGCACGGUCCACACUCCUACGGGAGGCAGCAGUGGGGAAUAUUGCACAAUGGGGCAAACCCUGAUGCAGCGACGCCGCGUGAGCGAAGAAGGCCUUCGGGUCGUAAAGCUCUUUUAUGAGGGAAGAUAAUGACGGUACCUCAAGAAAAAGCCCCGGCUAACUACGUG
rnacentral:rRNA from 1 species